GGGCUUAUAGUUUAAUGGCAAAACGCGCCCUUCGCAUGGGCGAGAUCCGAGUUCGAUUCUCGGUAAGUCCA
rnacentral:tRNA from 1 species